CCUAAAUCCUACAUCCAUCUCCACCUCCAUCUUCCAAACCCUCGCUGCCGCAACAACAUCUUUCAAACGCUUCUUCUUUCAACACUGACAUAGUAUGAGUAUACUUAAUUUUAUUUAUCGCUUUUAUAUAGUUUUUGGAUGAUUUAAUGUGUUUCACUCUGAUUAUUUUUCUGGGUUUGAAUCGAUGAGGACUGGAUAAUCGUUUUUUACCACUUGGCUUUCGAAAAAAAGGGAAUGACAACGUUUUGCUACACCUUGUUUUUUGUAAAUCGGUGAAAUGGUCAUACCUUUUCUGCAAAUCUGACUUUUGGUUGAAAUAGUGAUGGGAUUAGAGGAAGAGUUUGGGCUUAAUAUUGAGGAUGAUUUGAUAAAGAAGCUUUUUUGAUGCAUAGGUUAAACCCACUUGAGUUAGUAACUCGGUUCUGGUUUAGUGUUUUGGUUCAGCUUGCAUUUGCAUUUGAUUUCGAAUUAGGUUUUGGCAUUACCAUUGCAUCACAUAUCCCUUUUCGUUUGGAUCAAGUCUCUGAAUCAGGUAUGCAGAAAGUGUAAGCGAAAUUGCAACAGAAGACUAGAAAUGGAUGUGUGCCAUGAUUUAGCCAAUGUAUACACGGAUUUGUCGCAAUGGCGUGAUGCUGAAGCUUGUCUUUCCAAAUCUGAAGUUAUUGAUCCCUAUUCUGCUUCUAGAUGGCACUCUACAGGUAUUUAUUGAAGCUUAACGUGUUGCGAUUUAUGGUUUUUUAGAUAUUCUUCAUAUAGCAGAGGUUACCAUAAGUUAGGUUUAUUCAAGUAUGCUUUAUGAAGCAAGAGGUCUACAUCAAGAAGCAAUAAAAUCAUUUAAAAAAAGAUUGGAUAUUGAUCCCAACCAUGUUCCAAGUUUGAUAUCAACAGCUUGUGUUCCGAGAAAACUUGGGUAUAAAUCAUGAUCUUCAAUUCUUAGAAGCCUUCUCAUUGAGGCAUUGAGGCUUGACAGAACAGACUCAUCUUCAUGGUACAAUCUUGAACUUGUGUACAAAGAUGAUUUGGGAACAUCAGCAUUGGAAGCUGCUGAAUACUUCGAGGCAGUGGUUUUUCUUGAAGAAUAUUGUCCCAUUGAACCCUUUAGAUAACACUUUCACUUCUUUUCUAUAUCUAGUGUGCUUGUAAAGUUGGAAGAACUAAGGUAAUUUCUUCAUAUUCUUACAAAAUUUACCUUAUUUUAAUAGUUUGUUUCAUUGAACGAAGAAAAUUGGCAUCACUGUUUAUACAAACAGACAAAAUCAUGAGGAUGAUGUUAAGGAUAAUGAUAAGGGAAAACUA